rnacentral:rRNA from 1 species
ACAUGCCUACAACAUAGUGUUAAUCCACAAGAUCCCAUUAGAACUCCACAAUUAAGCGCACUCAGGAUAGAGUAGUACUAGGAUGGGUGACC